AUUGAACGCUGGCGGCAGGCCUAACACAUGCAAGUCGAGCGGAGCGGCGGACGGGGGAGGAAUACCUAGGAAUCUGCCUGGUAGUGGGGGAUAACGUUAGGAAACGGACGCUAAUACCGCAUACUAACGGCAGAGCCUAGGUCGGGGUUGCUAGUUGGUGAGGUAAUGGCUAACCAAGGCUACGAUCCGUAACUGGUCUGAGAGGAUGAUCAGUCACACUGGAACUGAGACACGGUCCAGACUCCUACGUGAGGCAGCAGUGGGGAAUAUUGGACAAUGGGCGAAAGCCUGAUCCAGCCAUGCCGCGUGUGUGAAGAAGGUCUUCGGAUUGUAAAGCACUUUAAGUUGGGAGGCGUUACCGACAGAAUAAGCACCGGCUAACUCUGUGCCAGCAGCCGCGGUAAUUC
rnacentral:rRNA from 1 species